rnacentral:lncRNA from 1 species
ACUGUAGGAGUAUUAAACAUUUUCUACAUAAAUCCAUUCAAUGUAACUUACUGGUGGUACAAGGGGCUUUUGUUGAUUGGAUGCAUGGUUGCAAGUGUUGUUAUAUUUGGGGUCUCGUGAUUGCUUUAUGGCAUCUUUGGGAAAGGAAAACCUCAUUGAAGGAGGAGCCAGAGGACAGCACAAAGAAGAUCGACAUCCUGCAGCAGAAUGAGGCCUCUUUAAAGAAGUAUCUUGAAGAGGCUCGAUGAAGGAGGAGCCCGACGACAACACAAAGAAGGUCGACAUCCUGCAGCAAAAUGAGGCCUCUUUACACAAGAAUCUUGAAGAGGCUCGAUCUGUUAAUA